CCUACGGGUGGCUGCAGUGGGGAAUAUUGGACAAUGGGGGCAACCCUGAUCCAGCCAUGCCGCGUGUGUGAAGAAGGCCCUCGGGUUGUAAAGCACUUUCAGUGAGGAAGAACGCCUGGUGGUUAAUACCCAUCAGGAAAGACAUCACUCACAGAAGAAGCACCGGCUAACUCCGUGCCAGCAGCCGCGGUAAUACGGAGGGUGCGAGCGUUAAUCGGAAUUACUGGGCGUAAAGCGCGCGUAGGUGGCUUGAUAAGCCGGUUGUGAAAGCCCCGGGCUCAACCUGGGAACGGCAUCCGGAACUGUCAAGGUAGAGUGCAGGAGAGGAAGGUAGAAUUCCCGGUGUAGCGGUGAAAUGCGUAGAGAUCGGGAGGAAUACCAGUGGCGAAGGCGGCCUUCUGGACUGACACUGACACUGAGGUGCGAAAGCGUGGGUAGCAAACAGGAUUAGAUACCCGUGUAGUC
rnacentral:rRNA from 1 species